UUGUGAGGUUAAGCGACUAAGCGUACACGGUGGAUGCCCUGGCAGUCAGAGGCGAUGAAGGACGUGCUAAUCUGCGAUAAGCGUCGGUGAGGUGAUAUGAACCGUUAUAACCGGCGAUUUCCGAAUGGGGAAACCCAGUGUGUUUCGACACACUAUCAUUAACUGAAUCCAUAGGUUAAUGAGGCGAACCGGGGGAACUGAAACAUCUAAGUACCCCGAGGAAAAGAAAUCAACCGAGAUUCCCCCAGUAGCGGCGAGCGAACGGGGAGGAGCCCAGAGCCUGA
rnacentral:rRNA from 1 species